AUUACAAAGAACCAGUAUGGCCCCAAAGAAGAUAUGUGAGAAGAUGCUUCCUCCAGUCCUUUACAGAGGUUCAUAGGAGGAGAAGAAAUGAGGAAAAUACAACGUGAAAGAAGAACCAACUUUUAAAGUGUGACAUCAGUAUAUAUAUCAUCAUAACGUCAGGAAAAACCACAGGGGGUGAAAGCCAUGCUCACACACAGCAUGAGGACCAUGUACUGACUGGCACCCUACAGGGGGAGGUAUUGCCCACUUUGAGAACCUAUGGAUAGAGAAAAGUUGAGGAUAGCCUUGAAGAAUGCCAGCAUUUA